GCUUACUGUCAAAGUUGUCGUGCCUCUGUUUGAAGGAGGAUUGCAGGUUGGUGCUAAGCCUGGACACGGGGGCUUUGAUCUCCGUCUGACUCUGCUGGCUCAGCUUCUCCUCCAGCUCCACCGUGCAGCAGGAGAAACCCUGUGGACACACCUUCAGGGGGGCUCCUAGAAAAGAGACACAGCAUCUUACAAUCAGUUCACCAGACUCGAUCCUCAUCACCUGCCCCGGAACAGCAAAAGGCCCCAACUGAACCACCUCAGGACCAGGCCUCGUGUGGAUCCUCACAGGAUGAGGCCCCAUCACAACUUCAGGGCUCUUCACUGCCUGCCUCUCAACAACAGCAGGAUGAGUCCUCACCGCAUCCCGUGUCAUCACAUUCCUCAUCAGCUUCAUCAAAUCCAUCUCCAUCUCUCCAUGCCUCCCUUGACCGAGAAUCCGUUUCAACGGAUCAACAAACAGUCGAUGAGUUGCUAGAGUCCACCAGCACACCACGACCUGCUCUCAACAAGAGGCGGCGCCAGCAGCAUGUGGAUGACUGCUUUUCUGAACAGAUGGCCCGAAUUGACAAACGUAGGAAGGAGCUCAGUGAGAUACUGCAGAAGGAUGAUAAGUACGACAGGUUUGGGCAGGUUCUAGCGGACCUACUGAGGAAGGUCCCUGAACAUAAGCAGGUGGUGGCCAGGCGCAACCUUUUAGCAUGUGUGUGCGACCUUCUGGAGAAUUGAAAUGUGUUUGUGUUGAAAGUUUUUUUUAUUCGCAUGUUUUUAUUUUUAUUCCUAGAAGUGUUUCAUUUGCAUGUUUCUUUUCUAUUAAAAGCGAAGUCUGUUUUCUUCCAUUUACAGUUUUUUUUUUCAUUUUCAGUCAUUUGGCAUCAGUUUGCACUCCGUAUUAUUUCACACUCAUUGACUAGGCUCCAAAAAGCAGAUAAACACAGAGUCUUGAAAAAAAAUUCAUACCCCAAGAUAAUUUCAGGUUUUUAGUUGAGAUUUUUUAAAGGUUUUAUUCACUCAGCUUCAAUUUGUAGUUAAUUCCACUACAACAGAGUUUAUUCCUAUUAGGAGUAGCACUUGCAUAACAAAAUAUGAGCUGUAUAAUCAUUUAAACAUCAGUGAACAAGGCACUAGAAAACAGACCUGGUAAACAGCAAAAAAAAAGAAAACAGAACACUACCACCAGGCGCUAUGAUUACGAUGGACAAACUCUAGUCUGUGAGUGCGCCACGUGACACAGUCUCCUCCUGCCAGGACACAGCUCCUGCUGGUGAC